rnacentral:lncRNA from 1 species
CGGCAUCUUGGUUUCUAGCUUCUAGAACUGUGAGAGAAUAAAUUUCUGCUGUUUUAAGCUACCUGGUUCGUUGUAAUUUGUUGUGGCAGCCUUAGGAAACGAAUACACUAGGUAAAUUUUGAUAGAUUGGCUAUGAAAUGGGUGAGGACAGAUCCUCGCCACAGUGUCAUAGUCGAGAAAUUCAUUCUCAGCUGAGGUACACUGCCGGAAUAGAAUUCUAGGCAGACAGAGACAAAGCAUGAUUCUAGCUGUAAAAUUCUAUUUAUUUGUGGACAUUGGGAAUCUGAAGAAGAGUGGAGAAUAGAAAGAACAGGAGUGCAAAAUCUGGGGCAGGAACUACGGUAUAGUCUCUUCACAGGUAUCCUCAAACUGAAGCAUCUUCAGGCAUGUUUCCCAACUCUUUCCUUCUGGCAGGACGCCAAAUAACACACUGCCCCAGCAAGGGAUGAUCACUGAGCGAGUUUGUACACAAGGAGCAAAUGUGAAGAGUGGCUCUGAUGGUUCAUUUAUUGAGCAUCAAACACGUGCUGGGCACUACUCUGGGCUCCUGUGAUGCAUUAAAUCAUAAAAGAGACAAAAAUCCCUGCCUUCCUGGAGCUUACAUUCUGGACUCCUUAAAUAGACCUUUGGAUAGGAAGGGAAGAUAAGAAAACUCAACUUUGGAAAACUUAGGAAAGAGAGGAAAAGGCACAUUUGAAGAGCUGUUAUCCUGCGAUUAGAAGACCACUGAACUCCCUAAUAAGCCUUUAAACUCUGAAGAGAUAAAGGAAUGUCAUCCUAACAAUGGAUGAGCAGUUUAAGGAUAUUAAAAUAACCUGAAUGCUCUGUCUGCAAGAUAAAAGAAGGAGUUGCUCAAGUGGCCUCAGAUAACUUUUUAGCCUGUAAUAAGAGCAUCCAUCCCUCUCUGGUUUGAGUCCAGAUUGCUGUAUGGAGUGAUAAGGUGCCUGGUUCAGGGGGCCCCUGCCCUGCAGCAGACACUACAUACAGACUUGGCAAGAUCUGCUCUUUGACUGGAGACCACCACAUGGCCACUCAUAUACACAUGCCUCUAGUCCCUACUACCACUGCACUCCUUCAGAAUAAAGGAAACAGGGCAUUAUUAUUAUUAUUUUAA